CCUUGCAUUUUCAGACAUUUUGUCAAAUUCAUCAAUACAGCAGAUCCCCCUGUCACUCAGAACAAGUGCUCCACUCUCCAGAACCGUUUCCCCUGUCUCGGGAUCUUUGCUAACAUAUGCAGUCAAGCCAACAGCAGAGCUCCCUCUCCCACUAGUAUAGAUGCCACGAGGAGAUAAUUUGUGUAUGUAUUGUAGUAGCUGGGACUUGCUAGUUCCAGGAUCACCAACUAGAAGGAUAUUGAUAUCACCACGGAAGCUAGCACCAGAUAUUCCCACCAAAGAGCUGGCAGAGAAGACCUCUCUUCACAUCAUCCAGCUCCCAAAUGUUUGGUGCCAAUGACUUUGUUAGCCUGUCGUAAAUAUCAGGCUGUCUUGACAGCUCCUCUAAUUGAUGUAUUUUCACUUCNNNNNNNUCAUCAAAUUGGCCAUUUUCCUCCAUUCUACGUGAGCCAUUAUCAAUUUCCAUAGGAUCCUCUGCCAGCAUUCUUGACUUGUCAGUUUUCUUUAUAUGAAGACAAUC
rnacentral:misc_RNA from 1 species